CAGAACUGAGAGGGAGAAACUCUUUGUGUUUUAUGAACUUGCUUCCUGAUUGCAGUUCCCCUUCAACCAAGUUGCGCACCAGUUUGAGACUCUGGACAAGUCAUAUCAGCUUGUCGCAUGACUGUUUUCUUUAUUUCAGCUGCACACCCACAAGACCUCUCGUAGGAGUGGUAUGAACUGCUGUUGGCACAGUUUUCUUAAAAGAAAGAGAUUGGGAGCUUGUGUUUGGUUUGGUUUGAUUUAUCAAGCCACAUGCUAAUUUGUGGAAGAGAAGCUAUCAUAGAAUAGCCUUAUGACAUCACUGUAUGUAUGUUUUAUUAUUUGUACCAUUUUGUAAAGAGGUAUUUGAAGUUUAUCUUUAUGUGUGUUUAACAAAUUCAUUUGUAGAAAGAAACUUUAAAUGCUUAUAAAUCCUUGA